CCCAAACAGGAAAUUGAGCAACACGUUCAGGAAAGACAGAGCAUGGCUGCUGGGCAGCCAGGUCAACCGGACGGCAAGGCAGGGGUUGGCCGGGGAAGCACUGCGCCGCCCCUGCAUGCCCUGCAUCCUCGGGUCCUGGGAGGGCUGCUCAGUAACUGGAAGGAAAAUGAAACUGAAAAAGAGCAAGGGUCCCGUAGGAUUGAACACAGUUGGUGAAACUUGGGCCGUCUGCCUCAAGUCCCCGCUUGGCAAAACCACUCCCUCCUGGUGGACGCCCUCACCAUGAAGUUUCAGGCACUGUGACUGACUUCCUGCCGCAGAGGCUAAGAUUCGGCUCGUUCACUCCACAUGUGCACACAGCUCCUACCUGCAGAACACGCCCACCCUUAUGAAGGCCAUGAAAGCAGUGACAGUGCUGUAGGAAAGAGUAAGCUGGAAAAAGAGAAGGUUCAGAACGACAGUGCUGACGCAGACAUCACACAGCGGUAUGCCAGUGCUAUGGUGCCUGUUUAAUUGAAAUCUUGUAAUAAAAGUUUAAAUACAUAAAUUUUUUUUUUUUUUUUUAUCAAAAGAACAUCCCCCACUUCCCUGACCAGAUACAUCCAGAGGGGAGGCAAGUGGAGACUGGCUGUCUGUAGGGAGUGGAGAAAUGGCAGGUCCAGCUUGGGCUGGUGUCCUCUUCCUCAGAAAGUGCUGUGGGUGAACCCAGAGUCUCAGGGAGCAGAAGCCCCCCUCGCUGGCUUUCUUCACGCGGGGUCCUCGGCAAGCUGCUCUGCACUGCGGAGAACGUGCGCCUUGUCCUCAGAAGACGAGGAAGAGCAGGGCCUCAUGCCGGGGCAGUACGAUGUUCUCCACAGUGCGCUCCAUGGCGCGCACCUGCUCCGGGGAGGCUGUCAGGAACGCCAGGGGCCCGAUGCGCUGCUCCGCACAGGAGUGGCAGAGGUAGCCCCCCUUGUUUUCCUUCCUGUUGCUCUGUGGUGAUGGACAAGAGAGAGAGCUAAGGGGAACAACCAAAGAACAUGGAUUUUCCAGCAAAAAGCAUGGAGUUAUCAUCACAGCUGCCCAGGGACAACGCAUUUGGAUUCUGAUGUUUUCAGAGGGGUGCACAUCCUCAGAGUAACACCUCCCACAGCACCACCAACUAGGUGGCCUCAACACCCCCAAAUUCCCUGAGCUCAGAAACAGUCAUUUAUCCAGUCAAGAUAAAGAACCAAGAAAAGCUGCGCUGGGACCCCAGGGAACAGCUCUCUCUCUAAGCGUGUAUCACAACCCAGCCUCCCAGACCUGCGGCUUCAGCACAGCCAGGCAGCAUCACGUGCCCUGACCUCUGACCCUGGGACAGACCACACACCUCUUGUGCCUCUCAUAUGAAAAGCCCCUAAUAAAGGAUCACACAGCUCUCUCUUAUCUCCUCACCUACAACCCAGAUAAGCACAGAGCUCACAAGCAAAAAAUGCAAAUGGCUGAAUUAAGUUCCACAGACAGCAGACGUACAUAGGUGAUGGGCAGCUUCUUCAUGGUAAGGACGGUGUCAACAGGGAUGGCAUUGUUGCACUGUCCCACGCAGCAGCGCACCACGCCUGUUUUUAAGACGUUGCUUGUCAGCUCUGCUUGCAAGAAGUACUCCUGAGAAAGAAAGAGCGAGAAAGAGAGUCAUGGCGACACCUCCGUUAGGGUCUACUGGAAACACUGAUAGCGGCGGCUCUGUGAGAACCCUUUAGAUGCACUAUGGCACGGUGCCUGCUUCAGGUGGCUGCUGAGGAGAAGAAACCCUUCAAUGCAUGCAAAGCACUCACGCCUGGCACGCAGGGAGCACCCAGAGGAAGCACUAGUGACCUCCCAGGCUGGAAACACCACAAGGACAGGGCACUGUCAGCUUCGCUGCUGCCCUGUGGGGCUCCACAUCACAGACUGAUAUGCUAGCAGGACCGCACACAUCUGCUGCCCAGGAAAGGACGGUUUCGUAUUUUCUGGAUUAUGACCAGCUAUUGAUCUACUUAUUCUACAAUCUGUAACCUACGUUUUGAUUUAUUUGGUCUUUUCUCUUAGACGGCCUGCCUACCAGCUAUGAAAAAGAACAGAAAACCACCAGGCAAACACUCCAGUUAUGGCCAACAAGUACUAACAGCUGACGAGGUGAAAUCCUGUCUGAAGUCACAGAUUUUGCUGAAGUCCCUUGGACUGUCAUCUCAAUUUCCUUCCCGAGAGACAGCCAAGACCAUGAACCUGGCGAGGUCCCUCCAACCCACGGUGAAAUAGCUUCUCGUUUACACGUGUCCAAGGACACAGGUCUCCUUUUAUAGAUGUCUAAUUUACAUGAAUGUUACGCUUCUGGCUUCCUCCUCACCUAGGUUUUCUAAAAUGCUGUAGAGGACUCAGUCACAGCGCUCUCUUGUAUUUCAUUUACCCAUUCCCUUGCUGUGGUUACUCGGUUGUUUCCAAACUAUUUCCAACAAUGCAGCAAUGAACAUCCUGUACCUGACUCCCUGUCCACUCCAGAAGUUUCUCCAGGGCUAGGCUCUCAAGCCGUUUUUGACGCAGUUACCAUUAUAAUGCUAUACAUACGCACAUAUGUAAGAAACACACAUGGAAGAAAAGUUUCACAAAACAUGACUUAACCUAACAUGCAGUGUUCUCUGAUUUCUUUAGAUUUUAUGCCAUUUAACUCUUUUUAAGCCUCUCAUAACCCACCAGAUUAACUGUUUUUAUUUAUAUAAAUUUAAGGGGUGGGGGUCACACCUGUAGUCCCAGCACUUUGGGAGACUGAAGUGGGAGGAUCACUUGAGCCCAGGAGUUCGAGACCAGCCUGGGCAACAUGGCGAAACCCUGUCUCUACCAAAAAUACAAAAAUUAGCUAGGCAUAGUGGUGCACACCUGUAGUCUCAGCUACUCGGGAGGCUGAGGUUGCAGUGAGUUGAGAUCGUGCCACUGCACUCCAGCCUGGGCAACAAAGCAAGACCCUGUAUCUAAACAAAUAAACAAAAAGAAUCUAAGAUUCUGUGAGACCAAGAAGCUGUCUUUGGCCAGACAUAGUGGCUCAAGCCUGUAAUCUCAGCAAUUUGGGAGGCCAAGGCAAACGGAUCACUUGAGGUCAGGAGUUUGAGACCAGCCCAGUCAAUAUGGGUGAAACCCCAUCUCUACUAAAAAUACAAAAAUUAGCCAGGCAUGGUAGCACACGCCUGUAAUCCCAGCUACUCUGAGGCUGAGGCCUGAGAAUCGCUUGAGCCCGGGAGGUGGAGGUUGCGGUGAGCCGAGCAAGAUGGCACCACUGCACUCCAGCCUGGGCUACAGAGAGAGACUCCAUCUCAAAAAAAAAAAAAAACAAAAAAAAAAACCUGUCUUUGAAACAUAACUUCAUGUCACUUAACACCUCAACAAUGUAAUAAUUUCCUUCACUUUCCCAAAACUUAAAGAAACAAAUGAACAAAAUGG
rnacentral:lncRNA from 1 species